UGGCUCGGAGCCGAGCUCCUUAGGCUCGGAGCCAGCUCUUUAGGCUCGGAGCCUAAAGAGCUGGCUCCGGUCCUAAGGAGCUCGGCUCCGAG